ensembl:snRNA U1 U1 spliceosomal RNA
AUAUUUACCUGGCAGGAGACAUACCAUGAUCAAGAAGGGGAUUUUCCCAGAGUGAGACUUGUGCAUUGCACUCUGGAUGUGCUGAUCCCUGCAGUAUGGCUGCAUGCAGGAAUCUUGACUGCAUGAUUUGUGCUGGAGGGGAUCUGUGUUCCUGCUCUCCCCUG